rnacentral:rRNA from 1 species
UACAGAGGGGGCAAGCGUUAUUCGGAUUCAUUGGGCGUAAAGGGUGCGUAGGCGGCGCGGUAAGUCGGGUGUGAAAUCUCGGGGCUUAACUCCGAAACUGCAUUCGAUACUGCCGUGCUUGAGGACUGGAGAGGAGACUGGAAUUUACGGUGUAGCGGUGAAAUGCGUAGAUAUCGUAAGGAAGACCAGUGGCGAAGGCGGGUCUCUGGACAGUUCCUGACGCUGAGGCACGAAGGUCAGGGGAGCAAACGGG